GGCCCAGUGUUUCAGUGGUAGAAUGUUCGCUUUGGAAGCGAGCGACCCAGGUUCGAUUCCUGGCUGGGCCC
rnacentral:tRNA from 1 species